rnacentral:tRNA from 1 species
UUAAUUGAAACCAAAACAGAGGUUUAUCACUGUUAAUGAUAAAAUUGAAUUCUAAUAAUUCCAGUUAAA